rnacentral:rRNA from 1 species
AGAGUUUGAUCCUGGCUCAGGACGAACGCUGGCGGCGUGCUUAACACAUGCAAGUCGAACGGAAAGGCCCUUCGGGGUACUCGAGUGGCGAACGGGUGAGUAACACGUGGGUGAUCUGCCCUGCACUUUGGGAUAAGCCUGGGAAACUGGGUCUAAUACCGAAUAUGACCACGCUCUUCAUGGGGUGUGGUGGAAAGCUUUUGCGGUGUGGGAUGGGCCCGCGGCCUAUCAGCUUGUUGGUGGGGUAAUGGCCUACCAAGGCGACGACGGGUAGCCGGCCUGAGAGGGUGACCGGCCACACUGGGACUGAGAUACGGCCCAGACUCCUACGGGAGGCAGCAGUGGGGAAUAUUGCACAAUGGGCGCAAGCCUGAUGCAGCGACGCCGCGUGAGGGAUGACGGCCUUCGGGUUGUAAACCUCUUUCACCAGGGACGAAGCGCAAGUGACGGUACCUGGAGAAGAAGCACCGGCCAACUACGUGCCAGCAGCCGCGGUAAUACGUAGGGUGCGAGCGUUGUCCGGAAUUACUGGGCGUAAAGAGCUCGUAGGUGGUUUGUCGCGUUGUUCGUGAAAACUCACAGCUUAACUGUGGGCGUGCGGGCGAUACGGGCAGACUAGAGUACUGCAGGGGAGACAGGAAUUCCUGGUGUAGCGGUGGAAUGCGCAGAUAUCAGGAGGAACACCGGUGGCGAAGGCGGGUCUCUGGGCAGUAACUGACGCUGAGGAGCGAAAGCGUGGGGAGCGAACAGGAUUAGAUACCCUGGUAGUC